UUCCUACGGGAGGCAGCAGUGAGGAAUAUUGGUCAAUGGGCGGUAGCCUGAACCAGCCAAGUAGCGUGAAGGAUGAAGGUUCUAUGGAUUGUAAACUUCUUUUAUAAAGGAAUAAAGUGAGGCACGUGUGCCUUUUUGUAUGUACUUUAUGAAUAAGGAUCGGCUAACUCCGUGCCAGCAGCCGCGGUAAUACGGAGGAUCCGAGCGUUAUCCGGAUUUAUUGGGUUUAAAGGGUGCGUAGGCGGAAUGCCAAGUCAGCGGUAAAAUCGCGGGGCUCAACCUCGCUCCGCCGU
rnacentral:rRNA from 1 species